rnacentral:ncRNA from 2 species
UCAGACGUUGGAUCACGAACUCGUAUAAUCCUGGUAAUGGGACCGGGAGUAUCUACCAGGAGGCCGGAACCUCCUGACUACGAGUGACUGAGCCCGCCGU